rnacentral:pre_miRNA from 1 species
GCAAAAAGCACUUGGGGAUCGUGUUAAAAUGCAGGUUCUGAUUCAGCAGGGUUGGGUGGAGCCUGAGAUUCUGCGUUUUUAACAAGCUCCCAAGUAAUGCCAAU